rnacentral:rRNA from 1 species
CCACACAUUUAAAGAGUGCGUAAUAGCUCACUGGUCGAGUGCUGAUGCGCCGAAGAUUAACGGGGCUAAAACCUGCCACCGAAGCUAUGGAUUUGCCGCAAGGCAAGUGGUAGAGGAGCAAUGUGUACAGGCAGAAGCCGUACCGUCAGGAGCGGUGGACAGUACACAAGAGAGAAUGCCGGUAUGAGUAGCGAGAGUGAGGUGAGAAUCCUCACCGUCGAAAGCCAAAGGUUUCCUGAGGAAGGUUCGUCCUCUCAGGGUAAGUCGGGGACUAAGCCGAGGGCGGUAGAGCCGUAGGCGAUGACCAGCAGGUAGAGAUUCCUGCACCACCAGUGUAUCGUUUGAGGAAGCAGUGACACAGAAGGAUAGUCAGAGCGCGUUGAUGGUAGAGCGCGUCCAAGCAGUGAGGCUGAUACGCAGUAAAGUACACGUAUCGAAAGGCUGGGCUGUGACGGGGAGUUAAAUGAUAUGAAGCUGAUGAAUUCACGCUGGCGAGAAAAGCUGCUAACGAGAUAUACGGUGCCCGUACCGCAAACCGACACAGGUAGGCGAGGAGAGAAUCCUAAGACGAGCGAGAGAACCAUUGUUAAGGAACUCGGCAAAAUUACCUCGUAACUUCGGGAGAAGGGGUGCCUAUAGAGAUAUAGGUCGCAGAGAAUAGGCCCAAGCGACUGUUUAACAAAAACACAGGUCUGUGCUAAAUCGAGAGAUGAAGUAUACGGGCUGACGCCUGCCCGGUGCUGGAAGGUUAAGGGAAUGAGUCAGGAGCAAUCCGAAGCUUUGAACUGAAGCCCCAGUAAACGGCGGCCGUAACUAUAACGGUCCUAAGGUAGCGAAAUUCCUUGUCGGGUAAGUUCCGACCUGCACGAAUGGCGUAACGAUUUGGGCGCUGUCUCAACAGUGGACUCGGCGAAAUUGUAGUAUGCGUGAAGAUGCGCAUUACCCGCGACUGGACGGAAAGACCCCGUAGAGCUUUACUGUAGCCUGAUAUUGGAUUUUGGUAAUGAAUGUACAGGAUAGGUGGGAGACUGAGAGACAAGGACGUCAGUUUUUGUGGAGUCGACGUUGGGAUACCACUCUUUCAUUACUGAAAUUCUAACCUUGUGCCGUAAACCGGUAUGGGGACAGUGUCAGGUGGGCAGUUUGACUGGGGCGGUCGCCUCCGAAAGAGUAACGGAGGCGCCCAAAGGUUCCCUCAGAAUGGUUGGGAAUCAUUCAAAGAGUGUAAAGGCAAAAGGGAGCUUGACUGCGAGACUGACAGGUCGAGCAGGUACGAAAGUAGGGCUUAGUGAUCCGGUGGUAGAGAGUGGAAUUGCCAUCGCUUAACGGAUAAAAGUUACCUCGGGGAUAACAGGCU